UGCAGUCGAGCGAUGGAUUAAGAGCUUGCUCUUAUGAAGUUAGCGGCGGACGGGUGAGUAACACGUGGGUAACCUGCCCAUAAGACUGGGAUAACUCCGGGAAACCGGGGCUAAUACCGGAUAACAUUUUGAACCGCAUGGUUCGAAAUUGAAAGGCGGCUUCGGCUGUCACUUAUGGAUGGACCCGCGUCGCAUUAGCUAGUUGGUGAGGUAACGGCUCACCAAGGCAACGAUGCGUAGCCGACCUGAGAGGGUGAUCGGCCACACUGGGACUGAGACACGGCCCAGACUCCUACGGGAGGCAGCAGUAGGGAAUCUUCCGCAAUGGACGAAAGUCUGACGGAGCAACGCCGCGUGAGUGAUGAAGGCUUUCGGGUCGUAAAACUCUGUUGUUAGGGAAGAACAAGUGCUAGUUGAAUAAGCUGGCACCUUGACGGUACCUAACCAGAAAGCCACGGCUAACUACGUGCCAGCAGCCGCGGUAAUACGUAGGUGGCAAGCGUUAUCCGGAAUUAUUGGGCGUAAAGCGCGCGCAGGUGGUUUCUUAAGUCUGAUGUGAAAGCCCACGGCUCAACCGUGGAGGGUCAUUGGAAACUGGGAGACUUGAGUGCAGAAGAGGAAAGUGGAAUUCCAUGUGUAGCGGUGAAAUGCGUAGAGAUAUGGAG
rnacentral:rRNA from 1 species